rnacentral:rRNA from 1 species
UACGUAGGCAGCGAGCGUUGUUCGGAUUUAUUGGGCGUAAAGAGCUCGUAGGCGGCUUGUCGCGUCGACUGUGAAAACCCGUGGCUCAACCAUGUGGUCUGCAGUCGAUACGGGCAGGCUAGAAUUCGGUAGGGGAGACUGGAAUUCCUGGUGUAGCGGUGAAAUGCGCAGAUAUCAGGAGGAACACCGGUGGCGAAGGCGGGUCUCUGGGCCGAUAUUGACGCUGAGGAGCGAAAGCGUGGGGAGCGAACAGG